rnacentral:rRNA from 1 species
UAGUGUAGUUAACACCUGCAUUAUUUGACGUUACCUACAGAAGAAGCACCGGCUAACUCCGUGCCAGCAGCCGCGGUAAUACGGAGGGUGCGAGCGUUAAUCGGAAUUACUGGGCGUAAAGCGCAUGCAGGCGGCCUGUUAAGUCAGAUGUGAAAGCCCGGGGCGUUAACCUCGGAAUUGCAUUUGAAACUGGCAGGCUAGAGUCUUGUAGAGGGGGGUAGGAAUUUCAGGUGUAGCGGUGAAAUGCGUAGAGAUCUGAAGGAAUACCAGUGGCGAAGGCGGCCCCCUCGGACAAAGACUGACGCUCAGAUGCGAAAGCGUGGGGAGCAAACAGGAUUAGAUACCCUGGUAG